UACAGAGGGGGGCAAGCGUUGUUCGGAAUUACUGGGCGUAAAGGGCGCGUAGGCGGCCGCCUAAGUCAGACGUGAAAUCCCUCGGCUCAACCGGGGAACUGCGUCUGAUACUGGGCGGCUUGAAUCCGGGAGAGGGAUGCGGAAUUCCAGGUGUAGCGGUGAAAUGCGUAGAUAUCUGGAGGAACACCGGUGGCGAAGGCGGGUCUCUGGGCAGUAACUGACGGCUGAGGAGCGAAAGCGUGGGGAGCAAACAGG
rnacentral:rRNA from 1 species